AUUGAACGCUGGCGGCAUGCUUUACACAUGCAAGUCGAACGGUAGCAGGUUAAGCUGACGAGUGGCGAACGGGUGAGUAAUGCAUCGGAACGUGCCCGGUCGUGGGGGAUAACGCAGUGAAAGCUGCGCUAAUACCGCAUACGAUCUGAGGAUGAAAGCGGGGGACCGUAAGGCCUCGCGCGAUCGGAGCGGCCGAUGUCAGAUUAGGUAGUUGGUGGGGUAAAGGCUCACCAAGCCAACGAUCUGUAGCUGGUCUGAGAGGACGACCAACCACACUGGGACUGAGACACGGCCCAGACUCCUACGGGAGGCAGCAGUGGGGAAUUUUGGACAAUGGGCGAAAGCCUGAUCCAGCAAUGCCGCGUGCAGGAAGAAGGCCUUCGGGUCGUAAACUGCUUUUGUACGGAGCGAAAAGGUCUCCUCUAAUACAGGGGGCUCAUGACGGUACCGUAAGAAUAAGCACUGGCUAACUACGUGCCAGCAGUCGCCGUAA
rnacentral:rRNA from 1 species